rnacentral:ncRNA from 1 species
AAAUAAAUUUUUAUAGUUUAAUAAUUUUAAUUUAAAUUUAUUUUACAUAUAAAUUAUAGUGUUAAUUUUCAAUUAUUUUAAUAAUAAUUAAAUUAAAUAUUUAAUAGUGAUUAAUAUUAAAAAUUUAAGAAAUUAAGAUUUAGUAAUUUUUAUAUUUAUUAACAAAUUUUGUGCCAGCAGUUGCGGUUAAACAAAAAAUAAUUUAAAUUUUAUCAGUAUAAUAAUAAAUAUUUUAAUAAUAAUAAUAGACAAUUAAUUAUUAGGUGAAAUUUUAAUUAAUUAAAAAUUUUAAAAUAUAAAUAUUAUUUAAAAAAUUUUUUUUAAAAACUAGGAUUAGAUACCCUAUUAUUAAAAAUUAAUUUAUAAAUACUAAAAUAGUAUAUAAUUAUUUAUAAAAACUUAAAUAAUUUGGCGGUAUUUUAGUUCAUUUAGAGGAAUCUGUCUAAUAAUUGAUAAUCCACGAAUAAAUUUACUUAAUUAUUAUAUCUUGUAUAUCGUUGUUAAAAAAAUAUUUUAGAAUAAUAAUAAUAUUUAAAAAUUUAAAAUUAAAAUUAAUUCAGAUCAAGAUGCAGAUUAUAAUUAAGAAUAAGAUGGAUUACAAUAAAUUAAUAAUUAAAUGGAUAAUAUUUUGUAAAAAAAAUUGAAAGUGGAUUUAAAUGUAAUUUUAUUUAAUUUAUUAAAAUGAUUAAAAAUUAAGAUAUGUACAUAUUGCCCGUCACUUUCAUUUUAAAAUUGAAAUAAGUCGUAACAAAGUAGGGGUACUGGAAAGUGUUCCUAGAAAGAA